rnacentral:rRNA from 1 species
GAGUGAAAAGCUAAUCGAACCCGGAGAUAGCUGGUUCUCCUCGAAAGCUAUUUAGGUAGCGCCUCAUAUGUAUCCUCUCGGGGGUAGAGCACUGUUAUGGCUAGGGGGUCAUCGCGACUUACCAAACCAUUGCAAACUCCGAAUACCGAGACGGACUGUAUGGGAGACACACGGCGGGUGCUAACGUCCGUCGUGAAAAGGGA